rnacentral:lncRNA from 1 species
AAUAAGUAUACCUUUAAUUUAAGAAUAUUUAUUCCUCUUUUAAUUCACACCGAUUACUUGCAUGACGUAAUCAUAAUAAUAAGUGGUCACCGCGAGAAAACUUUUUAAAUUCAAUUUUCAAACAAAUUUUAUAACGAAAGUCAUAUUUCUGAUCAUCCACCGACUAACUGUCACUGUCUAAUAAAUCAUUUUAAAAUUUACUUGUGCAUACAAUCUGGUUUCACACAAUAAUUUUGGUUUUGGAAUGUGAAAAAGUCACAAAAAGUCCUGACUUUUUGGCCAGAUUUUGCGAGGUAGCGUAUUUUGUUAGGACGCUCUCGUAUUGAUAUGCAGUUAAUUUGAUACCAGUUCAGUUUGAGACCGUCUAGUUUGAGGCAUGUACGAAUAAAGUCAACCAUAUUUUGAUUGUUUUACAUUUGCUUAUCCUGUUGCUGAAUUUCCACUACAUAACCAUUUGGAAAACUAAAGGAAUAAAUUUUAUUUAAUAUUUCUCAUCGAUUCGGAAUGUGACGACAGAAUCCAGCUUAUUUCCUGUUUUUUUUU